CGCACCUCAGGCUCCUGCAAGAAGCGCUGGCUGAAGCAGGCUCUAGAGGAGGAGACCACCACCCCUCCACCCAGCAGCGGCCGGCCCAGCCUGGUCAUGCCUAGUGAGGGCCCUCUCAGCCCCCCUAUCAACGGGGACUCUGACAGCCCCCUCCCCUACAAGGAGCUGCACCUUACCAGAGUUGCCCACUCCUCUGAAGAAGCGGCGCCUGGGUCUGUGUCCGCUGGACGCCUGCAUGUCAGAGAGCUCCACCCCCUACGGCUCUCCCUGCG